rnacentral:lncRNA from 1 species
GUGGUAACCUUGGUGGGCCGGGAACCAGUGACCUGUUUAUUCUUCUUCAUCUCCUCACUGCGAGCCUCAGCCUCGAGGUGGAGCUGGCGAAAAACCUCAUUGAAGGCGUCAUCAUAGGAGGUGCGCUUGGGAUCAUAAAUCUGUGAGAACUCCUUACGGACGGCGGCGAGGAGGUCGUCGACGUAAAGGAGGUGGAGCAUGCGCUGGUAAACGGCGACGAACACGAGGCCGAGGUCAUUGUUAAAGGUCCACUUAAGCGCAUAGGUGUCCUGGGAGAAGCUGGCGUCGGCAGAGCGCUCCUCGAGGAGGCAGGAGCGGAUGAGGGCGUCGAUGGGCGAGCCCUUGAGGGCGGCGCCGCCGAGCGCCCGGCAUGACGACCAGAGGAUGAGGCCGCCGCGCGUGAAGAUGAGCAGCUCCUCCAACAUCUCGACGGACGAACCU